GUGAGGCAAGGCGGGUCGUUUUUUGAAUAGAUGCCAAAUUACAUGGUUUGUCCUACAUUCCAUCCAAGCCGUCAGCAGAAAAAAUGACACGUUUGAUCCUGCACUCCACCUCCCAAGUUGUCAUCGGAAUGUUUUGCGGCACGACCUCCGAACCACCUGUUGAUAUUUCUUUCCAAAUUUAAAAAUAUUUUGACCUCACACACAUUCAAGGUAAGUUCAUAAUCUAUAAAUAGACAUUCUGAUGCUUUCCAGAGAUCAAUUUCACCUUAUUUCCCAAUUCCUUUCGUCACUCACCCCACAAAUUUUGCUGCAUGGCUCAUUUUCGAAGCGCCUGCCCAUUUCCUUGAAAUGUUAAAAAUAUCUCUACCUCACUCAGGCUCAAGAUAAGUUCAUGUUUUGAUAAGUAGAAACCCUGAAGCAAUCCAUAAAUGAAUUUCAUCUUACUCACUCUAUGUUUCGUUCACAUAAUGGACACAUUUUGAAAAUACUGCUCCUGUCCUAAGCAGUCUUACAUGCGAAAUUUCUACUAAAAAUAUUUCAACCCCACUCAGGCCAAGGGCGUGUCAUCUCUCCCAACCACCUGCCGAUGUUUCUUUCCAAUGUUCAAAAUAUUUUUACCUCACACACAUUCAAGGAUUCCAUCUGCGCAGCCUAAGUCUAUAAAAGAGAGUGGUCAAACAACAGCAAUGAUGCCCGAGGUGCCUGUUCGCCCCACAUGAACGCCAACAGUGUGAAACUAUCAACUUUGAGGACAACGAAUCCGUCAAGAUUAUUCGUAAUAGUGAAAGCGGCACGAUUCAUCGGGUGACACCUCUAGAGUGAACACCGCAGAUUAUAGGACUUCAUAUGUUCCUGUCAUCCACCACAAAGGUCCAAGUGUUUCACGAUGUAGGCAACGUGCAAGAAAAAAAAUGACCUUUGGCGGCCUGCAAAGGCGUGCCAGUUAGUCAGUUGUAACGGCAGUGGCCACGCAUGGGACGCGCUCGCUUGUACAUUCCAUCACUGCCAGUCAGAACUCAUGUUGAGGAAGGCCAUCUCCUCCUCAUGGUCCUGAUGGUGAGAAAGACUCCUAGAGGAGCAAGAACACACCAUGUGAUGCCAUCGAGAACAUUCCACCUCUCCAGCAAUAUUUCCGUCCUGUGUGAGUAUCACCGUAUCUGUCGUGAGAAACACUAUAGGGGCACAGAGUCUUGGUAGCACCCAUCUAAGCCCUACACAGCCACAUCCCCCAUUCCCUGACACACUUACUUUGCCAGCAGCAACAUUAGCAAGGGUGAAGCAAGUUCCUUAACUGGCUUAAAACUGUACUACAAUGCAACUUCAGCUACUGUGCAAUAAAUCCUCGACUCCAAUGACUAACGUGUUUAUCUACAAGACAACUUUAGCCCCACACCAUUAUAUUGUUGAUUGGUAUGAGUUAAGGAUUCCUAAUUGAAUUGACAAUUUUAGUGUACCGGAUUCAAUGUGCAGAGAAACUUGUCUAAGUUUGUGAAAUGCAAAAACAUAUGUAUAGUUCAAAAUAAAUGAUAUACAAUGCGAAAACAUCUAUUUGUCUUGGU